AUCGAACGCUGGCGGCAGGCCUAACACAUGCAAGUCGAGCGAGCGGCGGACGGGUGAGUAAUGUAUGGGGACUGCCUGAUAGAGGGGGCUAACUACUGGAACCGGUGGCUAAUACUGCAUACUAUCGGAUAACCCAUAUGGGAUUAGCUAGUAGGUGGGGUAAAGGCUCACCUAGGCGACGAUCUCUAGCUGGGCUGAGAGGCUGAUCAGCCACACUGGGACUGAGACACGGCCCAGACUCCUACGGAGGCAGCAGUGGGGAAUAUUGCACAAUGGGCGCAAGCCUGAUGCAGCCAUGCCGCGUGUAUGAAGAAGGCCUUCGGAUUGUAAAGUACUUUCAGUCGGGAGGCGUUACCGACAGAAGAAGCACCGGCUAACUCCGUGCCAGCCGCCGCGGUAAUAC
rnacentral:rRNA from 1 species